rnacentral:rRNA from 1 species
CCCUUAGAUGUUCUGGGCCGCACGCGCGCUACACUGAUGCAUUCAACGAGUCUAAAACCUGCUCUGAUAGGGGUGGGUAAUCUUUUGAAUGUGCAUCGUGAUUGGGAUAGAUGAUUGCAAUUUUUCAUCUUCAACGAGGAAUGCCUAGUAAACGCAAGUCAUCAGCUUGCAUUGAUUACGUCCCUGCCCUUUGUACACACCGCCCAUCGCUCCUACCGAUUGAAUGAUCCGAUGAAUAUCAUGGAUUGAGGAUGCAAGUAGGUUCGCCUAUCUUCAUCUUCGAGAAGUGAAGUAAAUCUUAUCAUUUAGAGGAAGGAGAAGUCGUAACA